UACGUAGGUGGCAAGCGUUGUCCGGAUUUAUUGGGUUUAAAGGGUGCGUAGGCGGUCUUUUAAGUCAGUGCUGAAAUAUCCCGGCUUAACCGGGAGGGUGGCAUUGAUACUGAAGGACUUGAGUAAAGUUGAGGUAGGCGGAAUUGACGGUGUAGCGGUGAAAUGCGCAGAUAUCAGGAGGAACACCAAUUGCGAAGGCAGCUCGCUGGGACGUGACUGACGCUGAGACGCGAAAGCGUGGGGAGCAAACAGG
rnacentral:rRNA from 1 species